UCCUGUACUACCGAUAACCGUUUGAGAGAAGGGAUGACACAGUAGGAUAAGCUAAGCACACUGUUGGUUAUGUGUGCCCAAGCAUUGAGGCAGUCAAAGUAGGCAAAUCCGCUUUGAUAAUGCUGGGAUGUGAUGGGGAGCGAAAUUUAGUAGCGAAGUAGCUGAUUUCACACUGUCAAGAAAAGUCUCUAUCGAGGUUAAAGGUACCCGUACCGCAAACCGACACAGGUGGGUGAGGAGAGUAUCCUAAGGCCAGCGAGAGAACUGUUGUUAAGGAACUCGGCAAAAUGACCCCGUAACUUAGGGAUAAGGGGUGCCACCAUCAGGUGGCCGCAGAGAAUAGGCCCAAGCGACUGUUUACCAAAAACAUAGGUUUCUGCUAAGUCGCAAGACGAUGUAUAGG
rnacentral:rRNA from 1 species